rnacentral:rRNA from 1 species
UACGAAGGGGGCGAGCGUUGUUCGGAAUUACUGGGCGUAAAGGGAGCGCAGGCGGUUCAUUCAGUCAGGCGUGAAAGCCCUGGGCUCAACCCGGGAACUGCGCUUGAUACUGAUGAGCUUGAAAUCAGGAGAGGAUAGUGGAAUUCCCAGUGUAGAGGUGAAAUUCGUAGAUAUUGGGAAGAACACCGGUGGCGAAAGCGGCUAUCUGGCCUGAAUUUGACGCUGAGGCUCGAAAGCGUGGGGAGCAAACAGG